rnacentral:misc_RNA from 1 species
AACCAUAGAAACCUGCGGAGUACCUGCGGAGGGAUCAUUACAGAGUUGCAAAACUCCCUAAACCAUUGUGAACCUACCUUCUACCGUUGCUUCGGCGGGCGGGCCUAGCGCCCCCCCGGCCCCCCGCGGGCGCCCGCCGGAGGAUAACCAAACUCUUGACAUCAGUGGCCUCUCUGAGUAUUCUUUACUGAAUAAGUCAAAACUUUCAACAAUGGAUCU